AAAAAUUUUAAAAAAAUUACACCUAGGUCAUUAACUGCUGUUUUCCUACUUGAGUUAGAAAGCGGCCUCUUUAUCUUUUCUUCCUUGCUUGAUAAAAGAUCUCUGUGAAAAUGGGUGUUUGGGUAUGGCUUGUGCCUAAUCCAGGGGAUGGGUGGGGACAGCCUGCUGUCCAGGGGUCUCUUGGCACCAUUCCAGAUCCUGACAGUCCUCAGUCCCCAUCCUCACAGAAUCUUAGUGUAGUGGGGAUAACUAGAACCUGGCAGUUUCAAUGCUGUAAAGCCAUGCGGGGACAGGUGUGUUUCCUCUCUUUACCCAGACAACCAAGCUAGCCAUAUCCAGGCUGAGUCUCCAGAGUUGUUCCUCGAUGGUCUGAGGAAUAGGGUUGAUGUCUGUGACUGGAAACAAUUGAGAGUGCAAACUGGUUCUUUGAUAGUGUGAAUAAGGACUUUCUGUGUGCUGUCCUGGAGUUUGGUAUGGCUAAAUCCUUUCUGCUCUGCCUUGCAAACAGAUAACUAGUGAAGGCCUUUGUUUUCCUUCUGCCAGGGGAAAAUGUUUAGCUUCUUUGAAAGAAACCUGUUCCUGAUGGACUAGGACAGAGAGAGUGUGGACCCAUUAAUACACUGGAGGCAUGUGUUCACUGUAUGCUGUUGUUUUGUGUACUGUACAGUGCUGCCUGUGCAGUAAGAUUUGCUAUCCUGUCAUGCCAAGAGCAUCCCUGGAUGAUUAGAAGGCUGCGGGUGUGGAUCCCAAUAAGUAGCAGCAGGAGAGAGCUGAGUUGCAGAUUGCUAGUUUAUGUCUUGACUUCAGGAAAGCUCUGAAUUGUGGAGACGUGAUUGUCAGGAAGUCUAUCAAAAGAGACGUCUGAAAGAAUUGCACCCUUUCUCUACAUCACCAGAAUGGUUUCUGAAGUGGUAGGAUGUCCAAAACCAAAGAGCCUAAGAGGCACGUUUCUCUGGAUGGUGAUUCAUCACGGCUGCCUGUGCUUCCCAAGAAAGCUGUCGUACCUACAGUGUAAACUUAGAAAUGGUUAUCAGUGUUUCUCAAAGUUUUCCAUGGUCUUCAAACUCAUGCCCUUUAUCUACAGUCACUAUCUAAAAGGCUUGUCUCUCUUCCCCUGGGCGGUCAUUGCACUCCUUUGCUGUCCACACUGGACUGCAAGCUCUCUGAAGCCUUCUAAAUAUUGGGCCUUUCUGCACAUGAGCAUAACUAAAGCCAGUGUAGUUCCUAUUGUAUGAUAGAUGUUCAAUAAAUGCUUGUUAUAAAUGGAGCUAAAUCUAAACCCCACUUGCUGAGUUCAAACCAUGGCACUUAAUGUGACACUGACCCGUCUAGACUGAAAUACAAGCAAUCACUCCACAGCAGCAAAUGUCCUGUUACCGUGAAAGUUGAUUUUAUUGUGGGAAGAGACCUUGUUUCUUACACAUUUUUAAAGGAUGUAUUUUAUUUCAUGUGUGUCAUUGUUUUGCCUGCAUGUAUGCAGAGCAGAACCAUGUGUGUGCCUGAUGCCUGUGGAGGUCAGAAGAGGAUGCCAAACCCCUUGGAACUGGAAUUACAGGUAGUUGUGAGCCACCAUGUGGGUGCUGGAAACCAAAUUUGGGUCCCCUGGAAUUGCAGUAAAUACUCUUAACCACCAAGCCAUUGCCCCAGCACUUCUUAGAAUCGUUUAUGUUUAACUAAAAUGUAAGUAUCCCAAUGAAAAACUUUAAACCUAUUUUAAGGCUUUAUAGUAGGGUUCAUAAGUAUAUAAAAUAUAGAAGAGUCUGGCUUAAGCCAGCAGUUGAGGGAGAAGUAAGUGAGAAUAAGGAUGUAACACUGAACUACGGGGCUCCAGCUGUCACCAGCUCUACACUUAAAUCCCCAAUCAUGGGAUCUGUGCACAGCCACAGGCUGGACAUCUCUCCAACAUGAGAGGCACAGAGGCAUCUGAGCGUAACUCUGACAGUCACCUGACCAAGCAGGUCCUGAAGUGUUAAGUCCACCCCUCAAGUUGAGUGGUGCCAAGUUGGGAUCUGGCAUCUCAGUACCAGAAGAGUGAGCCCGACAAUGACAAUCCUGCAUGGCAGCCAAGUGCCAGAGAGACCUCAGCUCCUUUGUGAUGAUUGUCCACUAUCACCACCUUCCCUGGGGCCUGCAGAAUUCGAGAGAGAAGUGGGAGAUGGUGACUGCCCCGAAAUGAAAGACACGAAUGACCUCAGCUACCUGAAUGAGGGAUGCCUGUCCAGGCUGGACCAUCGCUUGAGAAAUGCCCUCCUCGGGACUGUACUGCUUGGGGGAGUCCUGUAUGGGAUCACUGGCUCCCACCAGGACAUUCUCCAUAUAUCACAAUUCCUGAUGUGGUUUUCCCCUCUCACAUUGGUUUGCUUGUGCACAGCCAUCAAAGAGAAGAGUGGUAUGUUAGACAUGUCUGACAGAAAAGCUGAGAGGGUGCUGAUGCGGUCACAGGCCUGCUCUGUUAGUGUGCUUCAUUCUGUGCACACUAGUGCCCCGGUAUUGUUGAAGUGAAGCUUUUGCACACAAUGUUGCCACAUUCCUGUAACAUGCAGAGGGCUCGGUGGUACUUACCUCUUGGAUAUCAUUCUUAUUGACCAGAAUGCUGUUCUUUGGGUGGAGAUCCUGGUAGCUGUGAACAAGGGCUUCCAUAGUUAGCACUGUUCCUAUCCUUGUCCCUACUCCAUGAAUACCCCAGACAUACCAGUCUUGGUUCAUCUAUUGCUUGGCUGCCCCUUUCUUUACCUAAUGACCCCCAGGACAGCAAGCAAGGCUGCCAUCGUGGCCAGGAUUAAAAGAGUAGCUGAGUUUUUGAGUUCCUAGGUUCCUGUUCAAAAAGCCAGCUAUAAAGAAGAAGUUUAAUGCUCUGAUGGUUAGUUACUAAGUACUACUACCAGGAAACUAAACCUGAUGCUUCUAACCUAUUCCAAUAUAUUAUUUUAAAUGUAAAGUUUUUGAGGAAAUCAUACUUUAACUACGUUCAACCAUUCCCCCCCCAUAUAGUUUUUAAACACGUACAUAAAAUACAUACAAUUUUAUGUGUCAGUUUUAAAAAGUAAUAAAUAUGGACAUUCUAAACCAAAAAUGGCCACAUGGCAGAAUUUAACAUGUAAAGGUUUGGGGUGGAGACAUGGAUGAUGGGUGUCCAUGAGGACUGGUCCUCAGCCCCACUGCUGAGCUGGCCCAUGCUCUGUAACCAGCAGCAAAGCAGGCAAGCUCUUGUUAUCUUUGUGUUGCCUUUACCUUGUCUCUUCCUUUUAGAUCUUUGAAACACAGUUGUAACACCAACUCCUGCAGCUGAGUUCCCUCCACACACUGAAGUCCUCAUGGACAAAGGAGCAGCCACACACAGGCCUUGACUAUAUGGGUAUCAGGCUUUUGUAACAGUAUUCCUGGUGCUUGCAGCUAAGUGAGUAGGGAUUUCUACUCAAGUGGCAUUCAGUAAGAUGCUCCCUGGGUCAAACAUGUCAUUCUUAACCCUCCUAGCUGCUCCUCUGCUAUGAUUCUGUUUCGGGGCAGGUCUGCCUGCCGAGAGCAUGGGUUUUGUGUGGAGGUGUUGGCAAGGGGAUCAUUCCUAGCCAACUGCUUGAGCAGUUAGAUUGAGCAAUCAACUGACUUCUCCAGGGAGCAGCGAGAGAAGCUGAAAGGGGCUAAGACUUCAGAAACAGCCUUCGAGACAGGGAAGAUUUGACUUGAGGGCUGCAACAGAAGGCCUGGUGAGAUGGGACUGUGUCUGGUGGAGUGCAGUGGACUGGCUUUAUGCAAAUUAUAGGUAGCCCUGGAGGACCAGCAGGGCUUGCAGAGGAUGCUGAAAAGCUAUCGGGUGGGAAAGAUGACUGAAGCAACAAUGAGCUAGCCCUAAAGGCAUUUAUACCAGGCCCUCUACAGAAGAGGAGGCAGAAAGAAUGCAAGAGCCAGAAGAGCUGGAGAGGGGCUGUGAGAUGCCAUCCACUAGGAACUCAGUACUUCCAGGUGCUGGGUCUGAGCAAGACACUGUCAACCAUCAGCCGUGGAUAGGAGAGUUACUCAUUGGGCCCUUCUUCCUGCUGAACUAUUGGCUACAGAUUGGGGGGGGGGGGAUUCAAUGUCUACCAUUUUGUGCUCCUAUCAAGCCCACCAGGCUCCAGUGGAUAGCUCCAAACCCACACUCACACAGAUGGCCCUUGUCAAACUCAGUGGCUCACAAAACAAAAGAGACAACGUGGAGAAGGGUUUAGGGUGGAGGACACUGACAGAGUGGAGGGUAAGAAUAACUGGAACGCAUUACAUACUUAUAUGAAACUCAAAUUUAAUAACAAAAAGUAGUCAACAAGAAAACAGGCUAUCUAGGCAUGUGCCUAGAAUACAAAGCGGAUUCACACUCUUGGGCAUCUGCACAAUUUGAGCAGAGAGUAUUUGUGUCAUGAUGCUGCACUCCAGGACAUUUAUGGUUCUGUCCCUCUGUCUCCCAGUCUCCUCAGAAAUGACCAUAGCAAGCCAUAUGUUGACACAUGCUGUAAUUCCAGCACCUAGGAGACCUACGGAGGACUGGGAGGUCAGUCAUCCUGGGCUACGUAGCAAGAACUUAAAUGAACAAAGCAAAAACGAAACAACAAAGCCAGAGCCGUAUCUCCUGAAAAUUUAUUAUUAUUACUCUUGUGAUCCAUGGGGUUACAUAAGGGCAUUUUCCUGUAAGCAAGCCCCUCCCCCAUCUCCAUUGACCUUUUCCUUCAUGCCUGUCCCCCUCCCUGCAACUUUUAUCUCAAGGCUGGCCUCAGAUUUGCAGAGAUCCUUCUACUCCAUUCCCUAGUGCUAGGGUUACUUUUUAUUUUAUAUAUAUAUAUAAACAUAUAUAUAUAUAUAUAUAUAUAUAAUAUUUAAUAGGCGUGGUGGCGCACGCCUUUAAUCUCAGCACUCGGGAGGAAGAGGCAGGCGGAUUUCUGAGUUCGAGGCCAGCCUGGUCUACAAAGUGAGUUCCAGAACAGCCAGGGCUAUACAGAGAAACCCUGUCUUGAAAAAAAGAAAGAAAGAAAGAAAGAAAGAGAGAGAGAGAGAGAGAGAGAGAGAGAGAGAGAGAGAGAGAGAGAGAGAGAGAGAGAGAAAGAAAAAGAAAGAAAGAAAGAAAGAAAGAAAGAAAGAAAGAAAGAAAGAAAGAAAGAAAAGAAAAAAAGAGAAGACUUUACAGUGUUCUUUUUCUCACCACUAGGCCCUGUCAUGGAUGGAAACCCACACUUAAGAAUUGUGGGGAAAAAAACAAAACCAAGUUGGAAUAUCUAUACAGUUAUCCUCAGUCAAUAAAAUUGCAGUAAUGAAAGAAAAAAAGUGGAACCACCUUCCUGUUUAUUUCUAGGUGGAGUGUGAGCAUUGUUCUACCCUCAAAGCCAAACAGGAUUUAAGGAAGGCGACCCCAAGUAAACCCAGUCAAUCAAAUCUAAUCACGGGCUUGAAACAGUCUUACUGUCUACAACUGCAGAACGGAAAGGAGAGGUUACACACUUGCCCACCAGCCUGGAUGCCUAUGGUAACAGUUGCAUUAGAAAUGUUGCCUGCAUGUGCCUGAAUGUUGUACCCUGGUAACCUCACUCUCCUGCCCAUCACCAUAUUCCCAAAGACUCUAAAAUGUAGGGGCUCCCAGAAGAGCCGUGGGCAAAUUCUCUUAUAGGCAAACUCCCCAGUUUUGAAAACUGAUGUCUGGUAGAGAAAGAAACUUAACUUUUAUGAAUAUGAAAUUAAUACAUGCUUUGAUAGCAUAAUGGUGCACACCUAUAAUCCCUACAUGAGAGGACAAAGCAGGUUUUUCAGUUCAAGGUGAGCCUGGACUAUUUAUUUAUGGAGGCCCUGUCUCAGAACAAAAACAAACAAACAAACAAACAAACAAAAAAUGUUGGGACUGGAGAGAUGGCCCCAGUAGUUACAGCACUGGAUGUUUUUCCAGAGGAGCUAUAUUUGAUUUCCAGGAUCCACACAGUGGCUCACAACUACCUGUAACUUCAACUACAGGGAUCCAAUACCCUCUUUGGCCUCCACGGGCACCAGGCGUACACAUGGUACACAGACAUACAUGCAGGCAAAACACCCAUAUGCAGAAUAAGCCGCCCCCAACCAAAUCAAACAAAACCUACCCAGUUUUAUCAUGUAUAAAACAGGAUAAUAGUUUUUGUCUAAAGCCAUCCUAGAUAGAAAGAGCAAUGCUGAAGAUAUCUUAGUGUCUGAUUUCACAGCAAACUACAGAACGAAAUGUACUGGUACAGAAAGACUUCAGCCAAAAGAAUAGACUGCCUAGAAAUAAACUCACACAAAUACAAGCAUUAGAGAAAUGACAACCUCAGCAAUUAUUGCUGGGGUAGCCAGCAAUAUCUAUACAGGUAAAAAUGCACUGUGAUCCCUAUCUUGUACCUUGUAUCAAAUUAAGAUUGGUCAAAGUCCUUAGGAUAAGACCUGAAAUUGCUAGGGGACACUUAAAAAUAUAGGCAUAAGCAGGGACUUCCUGAAAAGGCUUCCAAAUAGGAAUAAUUUAUAGAAUCAGUAACGUGAUUCCCUGACAUCAAAAUCUUCAGGGAGACUCGAGAGUGCAGAGCCCUGCAUAGAGGAAAGCCACAGAAUAUGGUGUAUCAGGGGAUACAUUCUUAGGGAAAACCCUCUCCCAGAAGCUCACAAUUGCUAUUUCGUGCACCACUAGAAUACCACACAUCCAAGAAUAUCUGGGCAGCACAAAUUGGUCUUAAAAGGUUUUUUAAAAGUAUACAAGAUUUGGGUAGGUAGGAAAUGCAGGGUGGAUCCUGGAAGAGUUGAGGGGUGGUGACAAAGAUCAGAACAUGUACAAAGCUCUCAAAAGCUAACUAAGAGAACAAAAAAUGCUGGCGAGAAUUUGAGGAAAGAGGAGCCUUUUAGACAGUAUCACUAGGAAUGUGAACAGAUGUAGCCUUUAUUAAAUCACCCUGAAAGUUCUUCAGAAAAUUAAAAGUAGGUAGCUGGAGAGGUGGCUUAAACAAUAAAGUAAAAACUGCUUGUCAUGCAAGCAAAAGGACUGAUUUAGAUCCCAGCACCAUGCAAAAAAGCCAGGCUCAGCAGCUGCACAUCUAUAACCGUGACCAGGGAGCAGAGACAGAGGGAUCGCGGGGGGGGGGGGGGGGUUGCUAGCCAAGCAGGCUAUUGAAAUUUGUGAACUCCGGGUUCAGUGAAAAAACACUUUCUCAAAAUAUAAGGUGGAUCGAAGAAGUCACCAGACACUGGCCUCUGGUCUUCACAUUCACAAUGCACAAACACAUACAAGAACCUAAAAAUAGGACAACCGUAUGAUCCAACUUACUGUCCUGGGGUCUAUCUGAAGGAGGCUAAGAAGUUACACCACCACAGGAAUACUUAUACAUCGAUCCUAAUUGGAACAUGUUCACAGUAGCCAAGGCGAAGAACCAGCCUCUGUCAAUCAACAGAUGAAUGAUAAAAAGAAUGUGAUAUAUAUGUUCAAAGGAGUUUUAUUUAGCUAUAAGGAAGAAUAAAAGCCUGGGAAGAGGCCCUUACAAUCUGCCGAUGCCUUGACCUUCAAUUUUUUAUAAAUCACCCAGUCUACUUUGUUGAUGUAGUUCAGACUGGUAGUUCACACACACACACCACAGUAUUAUUUUUUGGUAAGGGCUUAUGGAGGGCUGUCUUAUUGUACCCCUCAAAAGUAGAAAGAGCAUCCAUGCUCCCAUGAGUCUUUUUACUCCCUCCACGAGGGUUCCAUCAUCAGGACCCAGUCACCUCUGCAGAAGUUCAGAUGCCAUCACAUGGAGGUUAGUAUUGAAACAUGUGGAUACAAACUUUCAGAUCAUCCCUGGUAGAAUGAUGGGGUAGGGACUCCCAAGAUGCUCUGCUCCCAACUUGGCUAAACUGACAUUUGUGACAGCCCUGAUGUUUAAUCCUUCCUAGACUCCUGUCACCACAGUAUUGGCUAAAUCCCCGCCUAAAUCACCACUAAUGAGUCUUCAAUCUGCAUUACAUUUUUUUCUUUCAAAUUUUGGGUGUUGUCUUCAAUAGGAGUCUGGAACAGCCGCAGGUCAUGUGACUGAAAAAGGCUCCUGAUGGACUAGGCGCAUUUGAUGGUAACUUAAAUUUUAAGAACAGGAAUAAAGGAUUCUGAGAAACAAAACUGCAGGGUCACUUGCCUUCACAAUGGAGGUGAGUUGUUUACGGUAGUGUGUGUGCAUUUCUAUGGGUGAAGGUUGAGUUGCAAAUGAACUGCUUUAAAGAUGUUGCUGUUCAUCUCUUGUAUUACUGUGCCAUAUCUGACUAAGCCAUAAGCCCACACAUCCCUGAAUAUUAGCUCUCAAAUCUAAAGUUACUAGUGCUUAAAUGUUAAAUAAUUUCUUCCAUGUAGGCUGCUGUCCAAUAGCACUUUCCGUAACAAAAUAAAAGAAGAAGAAAAGUAUGCCUUUUAACAGGAGAAUGGAUGGUACUGGGUAUCGUGUCAGGCAGCAAGGUAAACAGGCUCAAGGUGACAAAUAGCACACUUUCCCUGCUAGAAUCUACAUGCUACUUGAAUGGUUUUAGUUAGUCUUUAAGGUGACAGAGUGCCACGUGGGACUUUUAUGCUCAUCUUCUGUCUGAUUCCCCCACCUUGCUCCCACAUCCCCAUGUGCCCUUUCACCUCCCACAUCCCUAUAUGCUCUUUGACCCCCAGGGUACCUCUCUCUAGUUUGUCUUCACUCUUGCCCAACCCUUUGCCUUAAAGCCUCUUCUUCUCCAACCUCACUGGUUUGUUUUUAUUUUCUCUACUGUCCCAGCAUUUACUCUUCUUGGAUACAUGUAUUUAAAAGAAGCUAGGAUCCACUUAGUGUUUAUUAGUUCCUUUUUUAUUUUGCAAAUUUUACUUUCUUUCCCAGCUGAAUAUAAUUCUACUGUGUGUGCACCACAUUUUCAUUAUCCAUUUAUUGAUGGGCAAGCAGAUCAACUCUUUUUCCUUGUUCCUGUGAAAAGUGUUGGAGAGAAUGCUGGCGUGACCUGGUGACCAGCCUACCUAGCACCCUGGGCUUCUAAAUAAGCAUGGCGCACCAUGUUCCUGAAGGCAGCAUAUAGAAUCUUGAAGCAGCUGGCCUGCUGAGGACUCUGCGAUGCUCUCCAAGUCUGCUUUAAUGAGCCUCUUCUGCCUAGAGUGGCGGUAUGAACACUCAGUAUUCAAUCCGAGGUAAUGUGCUAACCAAUCACAGGUUUCCACUAUAUAAGAGGUUGCUCACAUGCAAUACAGUAAGUGCUGUCCUCUGAAACUGUCUCUGAAGUGAUUUGUCUCUGUCCCCUUUACUAGCACAUGGAUAUUGCUGUCUUGCCGGUGGAUAUCCCAGGAAUGACAGCAGAAAGAGCAACUUACUGUUUAUUACAUGAAUGUGUAUAUGCCAAAGAGUUUGGUAUAGCUGGGUCAUGCUGUAUUUUUAGUUUUUGAAAAGCCUCUACAUUGAUUUUCAAAACAGUGGCACUAGCUUCUAUUUCUGCCAACAGUGGAUAAGAGUCCCGCUUUCCCUGUACCACCAGCACUUGCUACUGUUUGUUUUCUGGAAUCUAAAUUUAAUAUGGGGCCUGUGAAAUGGCUCAGCAGGUAAAGGUGCUUGUAGCUAAGCCUGACCUCCUGAGUUCUACCCUUGGGACCUGCAAAGUGGAAGGAGAGAACCAACUCCUACAAGUUGUCUUCUGACCUCCACAUACACGCUAAUCACAGAAGCAUCUGCAAACAGGACUGUAUUAUAGUGGCAGCUAAACAUAUGACCUCAAGGAUGCAAUAUAGAAAGUGUUCCCACCAUGAAGUGGGCAUCCACAGAGCCGGUGGUGCUAUGUACUUCCAGGACCCCAUCCCCUGUGGCACACUGACAUCCCUGGCUGCGGAGCACUGACAUCCCCGGCUGCGGAGCACUGACAUCCUUGGCUGCGGAGCACUGACAUCCCCGGCUGCAGAGCACUGACAUCCCCGGCUGCGGAGCACUGACAUCCCCGGCUGCGGAGCACUGACAUCCCCGGCUGCGGAGCACUGACAUCCCCGGCUGCGGAGCACUGACAUCCCCGGCUGCGGAGCACUGACAUCCCCGGCUGCAGAGCACUGACAUCCCUGGCUGAGAACUCACGGUGUAGGCCAAAGUGCCUGGAACUUGCUUGUGCAUUAUGAGGUUACAGGACUGGGACAGCACACCUAAGUGAAGAUAUAAGAGAGAAUAGUGGGAAAUUGCUGUCUUAUUCCUUAAAAAUACAUUUUACUCAAUAGGGGCUGAGAAACGGCAGUUGUAAAACCUCAAACCAAAACAAAGAAACCUACCCCACCCCCACCCCCCAAAAGCCUCCAAAGCAAUUAAAUACAAGCCAAAAACCAGGCCAAAAAAUAAAGCUAUUUAGUAUUCUUUCACUGCAGACUUAGAGACACUGACCUACAAACACUCUGUGGCUGGCCUUGGGCACAUAGUAGGAAGGCAGUCACAGACUGUAAUAUUUCUAUCAAGACAAGUGUAGCCAUGCCUCUGUGGGACUUUGUAGUGCAGCCCUCCCAAGGCCAAGGAUGAGAUAUGUUACAGGCUUUUGUUCAAAGUCUUUUGAGUUCUUUUUAGUCUACUCUAAAGUGUCUUUUAUAAUCCACCAGGACAGCGCUAAUUUAUACUCUCAGCCUCCUCCCAGAUGCAGUGUUGGAUGUGCCUCAGCAACGCUCUGAGGCCCUCCCCGGUGCAUCCUCGGCAAGUGUGGAACCCCAGUCUCUGUGGGGAAGAGCAGCCCCCAGUACUACACAGCAUUUCCUCUGCUCAAACCUUUCCUUCCAAAGGAGAUAAAUAUCUACAAGUCCAUCUGCUUGAUAUGGGACAUCGGCCUGCCCAAAGAAGUCGGAGACAGCUCAGACAUUCUCUAUAAAUCCUUUCUCAUGACUGGUCACUUCAGUCCAGGCUGUGAACCUAUACAAUCCACACGUACUAGUAACUUUUAUGGGGGCUUUCUGCCUCACUCUAUCCCAGUCAGCUUUUGAAUAAAAGACACAGAAACCU